AUGAACGCUAGCUACAGGCUUAACACAUGCAAGUCGAGGGGCAGCAUGGUCUUAGCUUGCUAAGACUGAUGGCGACCGGCGCACGGGUGAGUAACACGUAUCCAACCUGCCGUCUACUCUUGGACAGCCUUCUGAAAGGAAGAUUAAUACAAGAUGGCAUCAUGAGUCCGCAUGUUCACAUGAUUAAAGGUAUUCCGGUAGACGAUGGGGAUGCGUUCCAUUAGAUAGUAGGCGGGGUAACGGCCCACCUAGUCUUCGAUGGAUAGGGGUUCUGAGAGGAAGGUCCCCCACAUUGGAACUGAGACACGGUCCAAACUCCUACGGGAGGCAGCAGUGAGGAAUAUUGGUCAAUGGGCGAGAGCCUGAACCAGCCAAGUAGCGUGAAGGAUGACUGCCCUAUGGGUUGUAAACUUCUUUUAUACAAGGAAUAAAGUCGGGUAUGCAUACCCGUUUGCAUGUACUUUAUGAAUAAGGAUCGGCUAACUCCGUGCCAGCAGCCGCGGUAAUACGGAGGAUCCGAGCGUUAUCCGGAUUUAUUGGGUUUAAAGGGAGCGUAGAUGGAUGUUUAAGUCAGUUGUGAAAGUUUGCGGCUCAACCGUAAAAUUGCAGUUGAUACUGGAUAUCUUGAGUGCAGUUGAGGCAGGCGGAAUUCGUGGUGUAGCGGUGAAAUGCUUAGAUAUCACGAAGAACUCCGAUUGCGAAGGCAGCCUGCUAAGCUGCAACUGACAUUGAGGCUCGAAAGUGUGGGUAUCAAACAGGAUUAGAUACCCUGGUAGUCCACACGGUAAACGAUGAAUACUCGCUGUUUGCGAUAUACUGCAAGCGGCCAAGCGAAAGCGUUAAGUAUUCCACCUGGGGAGUACGCCGGCAACGGUGAAACUCAAAGGAAUUGACGGGGGCCCGCACAAGCGGAGGAACAUGUGGUUUAAUUCGAUGAUACGCGAGGAACCUUACCCGGGCUUAAAUUGCAGAUGAAUUACGGUGAAAGCCGUAAGCCGCAAGGCAUCUGUGAAGGUGCUGCAUGGUUGUCGUCAGCUCGUGCCGUGAGGUGUCGGCUUAAGUGCCAUAACGAGCGCAACCCUUGUUGUCAGUUACUAACAGGUUCCGCUGAGGACUCUGACAAGACUGCCAUCGUAAGAUGUGAGGAAGGUGGGGAUGACGUCAAAUCAGCACGGCCCUUACGUCCGGGGCUACACACGUGUUACAAUGGGGGGUACAGAGGGCCGCUACCACGCGAGUGGAUGCCAAUCCCCAAAACCUCUCUCAGUUCGGACUGGAGUCUGCAACCCGACUCCACGAAGCUGGAUUCGCUAGUAAUCGCGCAUCAGCCACGGCGCGGUGAAUACGUUCCCGGGCCUUGUACACACCGCCCGUCAAGCCAUGGGAGCCGGGGGUACCUGAAGUGCGUAACCGCGAGGAGCGCCCUAGGGUAAAACUGGUGACUGGGGCU
rnacentral:rRNA from 1 species